UACAGAGGUCUCAAGCGUUGUUCGGAUUCAUUGGGCGUAAAGGGUGCGUAGGUGGCGGGGUUAGUCAGGUGUGAAAUCUCGAGGCUCAACCUCGAAACUGCACUUGAUACUGCCUUGCUAGAGUACUGGAGAGGAGAUUGGAAUUUACGGUGUAGCAGUGAAAUGCGUAGAUAUCGUAAGGAAGACCAGUGGCGAAGGCGAAUCUCUGGACAGUUACUGACACUGAGGCACGAAGGCCAGGGGAGCAAACGGG
rnacentral:rRNA from 1 species